GGCGGCGGCCCCGAUAAUUUCUGCCCAGAACUGAUGGAAGCCCUUUAGGGAACUCCCAGGGUGACCAUGGCACUGACCAAAAGCUGGUUCCCUCAGAGAUGGUGCUUGUGGAAACUCUAGCUUGUCACACGGAUGCUGGGAUCUGAACUCCUGUCCUGGUCCUCCUGCUUGAAUAUCAAAUAGUCUUAGCCAACAAAACCACCUUUCCAGCCUUUACAAACAGACUGGCCUGAUCUCAGACUCCAGAAGUUUGAUCCAAUUGGGCAGGUUGGGCUGAACAGAGCUUCCUUUUCACCUAACUGGCAUGCCUUUCUACCAUGAUGUUUGCUGGGACCCCCUCAACAACCACCUGAAACUCCAGGUCCAGGAGUCCAAUGCCCUCUUCUGACUUCUGUGGGCAUUGCAGACAUGCAUACACGCUGAAA